rnacentral:rRNA from 1 species
CGGCUCAGUAACACGUGGAUAACCUACCCUCAGAUCUGGGAUAACUCCGGGAAACUGGAGAUAAUACCGGAUAAUCCGUGAACGCUGGAAUGCCUUACGGUUGAAAGCUUUAGCGUCUGAGGAUGGGUCUGCGGCCGAUUAGGUAGUUGCUGGGGUAACGUCCCAACAAGCCGAUAAUCGGUACGGGUUGUGAGAGCAAGAGCCCGGAGAUGGAUUCUGAGACACGAAUCCAGGUCCUACGGGGCGCAGCAGGCGCGAAAACUUUACACUGCGCGAAAGCGCGAUAAGGGGACCUCGAGUGCGUGCGCAAAGCGUACGCUUUUCAGAUGCCUAAAAAGCAUCUGGAAUAAGGGCCGGGCAAGACCGGUGCCAGCCGCCGCGGUAACACCGGCGGCUCAAGUGGUGGCCGCUAUUAUUGGGCUUAAAGGGUCCGUAGCCGGACCAGUUAGUCCCUUGGGAAAUCUUACGGCUUAACCGUAAGGCUGCCAAUGGAUACUGCUGGUCUUGGGACCGGGAGAGGCAAGAGGUACCUCAGGGGUAGGAGUGAAAUCCUGUAAUCCUUGAGGGACCGCCAGUGGCGAAGGCGUCUUGCUAGAACGGGUCCGACGGUGAGGGACGAAAGCUAGGGGCACGAACCGGAUUAGAUACCCGGGUAGUCCUAGCCGUAAACGAUGC